rnacentral:rRNA from 1 species
UACGUAGGCAGCAAGCGUUGUUCGGAGUUACUGGGCGUAAAGCGCACGUAGGCGGCUUUGUAAGUUAGAGGUGAAAGCCUGGGGCUCAACUCCAGAACUGCCUUUAAGACUGCAUCGCUUGAAUCAUGGAGAGGCGGGUGGAAUUCCGAGUGUAGAGGUGAAAUUCGUAGAUAUUCGGAAGAACACCAGUGGCGAAGGCGGCCCGCUGGACAUGUAUUGACGCUGAGGUGCGAAAGCGUGGGGAGCAAACAGG